GACGAACGCUGGCGGCGUGCUUAACACAUGCAAGUCGAACGGAAAGUCCCUGCUUUUGUGGGGUGCUCGAGUGGCGAACGGGUGGGUAACACGUACGUAACCUGCCUUUCACUUUGGGUUAACUUCAGAAAACUGGGGCUAAUUCCGGCUGGAUGCCACUGUUUCUUGCUGGGGGUUGGAAUGUUUGGGGUGUUGGGGAUGGCUACGCGGUUUCUUUGCUGUUCGGUGGGUAAUUGGCUUACCAAGGCCUUGACUGGUAGCCGGCCUGUGAGGGUGACCGGCGACAAUGGGACUGAGAUACGGCCCAGACUCCUACGGGAGGCAGAAGUGGGGAAUAUUGCACAAUGGGCGGAAGCCUGAUGCAGCAACGCCGCGUGCGGGAUGACGGCCUUCGGGUUGUAAACCGCUUUCGCCUGUGACGAAGCGUGAGUGACGGUAAUGGGUAAAGAAGCACCGGCUAACUACGUG
rnacentral:rRNA from 1 species